GAUGAACGCUGGCGGCGUGCCUAACACAUGCAAGUCGAACGAUGAAACCGCCCUCGGGCGGACAUGAAGUGGCGAACGGGUGAGUAACACGUGACCAACCUGCCCCUUGCUCCGGGACAACCUUGGGAAACCGAGGCUAAUACCGGAUACUCCUCGCCCCCCCCCUGGGGGGCCCGGGAAAGCCCAGACGGCAAGGGAUGGGGUCGCGGCCCAUUAGGUAGUAGGCGGGGUAACGGCCCACCUAGCCCGCGAUGGGUAGCCGGGUUGAGAGACCGACCGGCCACAUUGGGACUGAGAUACGGCCCAGACUCCUACGGGAGGCAGCAGUGGGGAAUUUUGCGCAAUGGGGGAAACCCUGACGCAGCAACGCCGCGUGCGGGACGACGGCCUUCGGGUUGUAAACCGCUUUCAGCAGGGAAGAAAUUCGACGGUAC
rnacentral:rRNA from 1 species